UGAAUAUGCAAAUAACUGAGGUGAACUUAGAUAUCUCUGUGCCCUGAGAGCAUCACCCAACAACCACACCCCUCCUCAGGAGAAGACCUCAGAACACAGCUCCUCACCAUGGACUGGACCUGGAGGAUCCUCUUCUUGGUGGCAGCAUCAACAGGUGUCCACUCCCAGGUGCAGCUGGUGCAGUCUGGGGCUGAGGUGAAGAAGCCAGAGGCCUCAGUGAAGGUCUCCUGCAAGGCUUCUGGAUAUGACUUCAGUACCUAUGGUAUCAGCUGGGUGCGACAGGCCCCUGGACAAGGGCUUGAGUGGAUGGGAGGAAUUAUCCCUAUAUUUGGUAUCACAAACUAUGCACAGAAGUUCCAGGGCAGAGUCACCAUGACUGCAGACACGUCCACAAGCACAGCCUACAUGGAGCUGAGCAGCCUGAGAUCUGAGGACACGGCCGUGUAUUACUGUGCGAGAGACACAGUGUGAAAACCACAUCCUGAGAGUGUCAGA